GCUGCGUACUAUAGACCCAAAGUGGUCGGACCCUUCCCUGGACCCUGCGCAAGCGGGAGCUACAUGCACCAGGUUGCCCUUUUAUUACGAGAUUUUGAUGCAGUUCAUUGUGAUCUUGAGGAGAUAGUCAAAGAUGUUUGGUGGAUUAAUUAAUCUUGGACAAUUUGGAUUUAGUUAGGUGAUUGUGAUAUUGAACCGUAUUUCAUGAUGGAUUAUGAGAUUUUAGGUGGAUUUAGUUACGUGAUUUAAUCUUGAGAAGAUAGUCUAAAAUGUCCGGUUGAUUAUGAGAGUUUAGGUAUGGUAGAUGAGCAUGAUGAUUAUUAUAUUGGUGGAUAAAUAGAUCUUUAAUUUUGUUUGGAACAUUUUGGAUUUAGUUAAGUGAUUGUGAUCUUAAACCAAAUUUUACGGUGGAUUAUGAGGUUUUGGUUGGAAUUAGUUAGGUGAGUGUGAUCUUGACGAGCUAGUAAAAAAUGUUUGGUGGAUUAUGUGAAUUUAGGUCUAGUAGGUGAGCAUGGUGGUAGUUAUAUCGGUUAAGUAAGUAAAUUUUUAGUAAACUUGAGAAAAUUUGAAUUUAGUUAGGAAAUUGUGAUCUUGAACCAAAUUUCAUGGGGGAUUAUGAGAUUUUAGAUGGAUUUAGUCAGUUGAUUGUGAUCUCGAGGAGAUACUCAAAGAUUUUUGAUGGAUUAAUUAACCUGGAACAAUUUGAAUUUAGUUAGGUUAUUGUGAUAUUGAACCGAAUUCCACGAUGAUUUAUGUGAUUUUAGGUGGAUUUAGUUAAGUUAUUAUGAUCUUGAGAAGAUGGUCAAAGAUGUUAGGUGGAUCUUAAGAUUUUAGGUCUAGUACGUGAGCAUGGUGACUAUUGUAUUGGUGGAUAAAUAGACCUUUAAUUUAGUUUGAAACAAUUUGAAUUUAGUUAGAUGAUUGUGAUCCUUUAAGCAAAUUCACGAUGGAUUUUGAUGUUUCGGUUAGAUUUAGUUAGGUGAUUGUGAUCCUGACGCGAUAAUCAAAGAUGCUCGAUGGAUUAUGUGAGAAUUUAUGUCUAGUAAGUGAGCAUGGUGGUUAUUAUAUUGGUGGCUCAAUAGAUUUUUAACAAAUUUGGAUUUAGUUAGGCGAUUGUGAUUUUGAACCAAAUUUCAUGGUGAAUUACAGGAUUUUAAAUGGAUUUAAUUAGUUGAUUGAGAUCUUGAGGAGAUAGUCCAAGAUGUUCGGUUGAUUAAUUAAUCUUUUUUUAACACAGUACAUACGCAAGCGCUCAUACAAACGAGCAUACACUCAUCCCUAUGAACGCGCACACACACACCCUAUCCCUAUGAGCACCUUCGAGAGACCGAGCCAGGAUAUCAUCUUGAGAUUUUACGAAGUUGCCGUAGGUGCCUUUUAGUCGACGGGAACAAUUUGAAGUUAGUUCGGUGAUUGUGAUAUUGAACCAAAUUUCUCGGUGAUUUAUUUGAUUUGAAGUGGAUUUAGUUAGGUGAUUGUGUUUUGAGAAGAUAGUCAAAAUGCUCGAUGGUGAGAUUUUAGCUAUGGUAAAUGAGCAUGGUGAUUAUUAUAUUGGUAGAUAAAAAAAUGUUUAAUUUAGUUUGGAUCAAUCUGGAUUUAGGUAGGUGAUUGUGAUCUUUUAACCAAAUUUUACAGUGGAUUAUGAGGUUUUGGUUGGAUUUAGUUAGGUGAUUGGGAUCUUGACGAGCUAGUAAAAGAUGUUCGGUAGAUUAUGUGAAUUUAGGUCUAGUAGGUGAGAAUUUUGGUUAUUAUAUUGGUGGAUAAAUGGAUUUUUAGAAAACUUGGAAAAAUUUGGAUUUAGUUAGGCGAUUGUGAUCUUGAACCAAAUUUUAUGGUGGAUUAUGAGAUUUCUGAUGGAUUAGUUAGUUGAUUGUGAUCUCGAGGAGAUAGCUAAAGAUAUUCGGUGUAUUAAUUAAUCUUUAACAAUUUGAAUUUAGUUAGGUGAUUGUGAUAUUGACUAAAUUUCUCUGUGAUUUAUGAGAUUUCAGUUGGAUUUAGUUAGGUGAUUGUCUCUUGAGAAAAUAAUCAAGGAUGUUUGGUGGAUUAUGAGAUUUUAGGUCUAAUAACCGAGCAUGGUGAUUAUCAUAUUGGUGGAUACACAAAUAUUUAAUUUAGUUUGAAACUGUUUGGAUUUAAUUCGGCGGUUGUGAUCUUUUAAUAACCUAAUUUUACGGUGGAUUAUAUGGUUUUGGUUGGAUUUAGUUAUGUGAUUGUGAUUUUGACAAGCUAGUAGAAGAUGUUUGGUGGAUUAUGUGAAUUUAGGUCUAGUAGGUGAGCAUGUUGAUUACUAUAUUGGUUGGAUAGAGAUGAGGGCCACACAAGUGACUCAAGGCGAUGAUGCCACUAGUGAAAAUAGUUGGUAAACAAGGGAAAGAGGAGAGAAUGGGGAUAGUGGUAGCAAAUGGACUUUGAUCCAGCAUCCCACGUGCCUCUACACUCUUCGUUCCCCGCUGUUCGGCUUGGUGUUCUUGUCCUGUUUGCGGAUUUUGUGUCACGCACUUGAUUAAGCAUCGCACGUUCUCCUAAUGUGUGCCCUUGGCCUUGACGAUAGGUAGCGCCGUGUUCUCGGGCGCGUCCCCUGGGUAAAAUUCAGGUAUGCGUCAAUUUUUCGAGCUCUUGCUCACCAUUGGUGGUACUUGAGCGUGCGGUCAUGGUGUCGCCCAACAAGGGAACACGGGAUGUGGGAUCAAGACAGCACACAUAGCAACCCGUCACCAGGCAAUGGACGCCCGUCCGGACUUUCUGGGCGCGGAGGUGGACACAAAGGUGGAUGUUGAGCUCCAUAGCAGUCUCAAUAGUGUGCUUAUCAGUAAGAGCAACACAAGCAAGAAGAUCCUGGAUAUACUCCUCUUAGGAAAUAAAGAAGGCAUUAGAGGUAGAAGAAACCUCAAUCUCAAGGAAGUAGUGACUUCUUUAGUAAAUACGGAGCAAUUUGGAUUUAGUUAGGUGAUUGUGAUCUUAAACAAAUUUCAUGGUGGAUUACGAGAUCUUUCAGUGGAUUUAAUUGAUUGUGAUCUUCAGGAGAUAGUCAAAGAUGUUCGGUGCAUUAAUUAAUCUUGAACAAUAUGGUUUUAGUUAGGUGAUUGUGAUAUUGAACCAAAAUUCUCUAUGAUUUAUGAGAUUUUAGUUGGUUUUAGUUAGGUGAUUGUGUCUUGAGCUGAUAAUCAAAGAUGUUUUGUGGAUCAUGAGAUUUUAGGUCUAGUAGAGGAGCAUGGUGAUUAUUGUAUUGGUGGAUAAAUAUAUAUAUAUAUUUAAAUUAAUUUGGAACAAUUCGAAUUUGGUCAGGUGAUUUUGAUUUUUUAGCCUAAUUUUAUGAUGGAUUAUAAGGUUCUUGUUGGAUUCAGUUACAUGAUUGUGAUUUUGACGAGGUUGUAAAAGAUGUUCGAUGAAUUAUGUGAAAUUAGGUCUAGUAGGUGAGCAUGCUGAUUAUUAUAUUAGUGGAUAAAUGAAUCUUUAAUAAAUUUGAAACAAUUUGGAUUUAGUUAGACGAUUGUGACCUUGAACCAAAUUACAUGGUGGAUUAUGAUAUUUUUACGGACUAGUUAGUUGAUUCUGAUCUUGAGAAGAUAUUCAAAGAUGGUUGGAUUAAUUAAUCUUGAAUAAUUUGGAUUUAGUUAGGUGAUUGUGAUAUUGAACCGAAUUUUACGCCGGAUUAUGAAAUUUUAGGUGGAUUUAGUUAGGUGAUUGUGUCUUGAGAAUAGUCAAAGAUGUUUGCUGGACUAUGACAUUUUAGGUUUAGUAGAUGAGAAUGGUGAUUAUUAUAUUGGUGGAUAAAAUAGAUCUUCAAUUUAGUUUGGAACAAUUUUGAUUUAGUUAGGUGAUUGCUAUUUUUUCAAACAAAUUCACGGUGGAUUUUGAGGUUUUGUUGGAUUUAGUUAGGUGAUUGUGAUCUCGACGAGUUAGUAAAAGAUGUCUGGUGAAUUAUGUUAACUUAGGUCUAGUAAGUGAGCAUGGUGGUUAUUAUAUUGGUGGAUAAAUGGUCAUUUAGUAAACAUGGAGCAAUUUGGAUGUAGUUAGGCUAUUAUGAUCUUGAAUAAAUUUCAUAGUGGAUUACAAGAUUUUCGAUAGAUUUAGUUAGUAGAUUGUGAUCUUGGGGAGAUGUCAAAGAUGUUUGGUGGAUUAAUUAAUCUUAAACAAUUUGGAGUUGGUAGAUGAUUGCGAUAUUGAACCAAAUUUCUCUGUGAUUUAUGAGAUUUUUGUUGGAUUUAGUUAGGUGAUUGUGUCUUGAGAUGAUAAUCAAAGAUAUUUGGUGGAUUAUGGAUUUUAGGUCUAAUAACUGAGCAUGACGAUUAUUAUACUGAUGGAUGAGCAUAUAUUUAAUUUAGUUUGAAACGGUUUGGAUUUAGUUAGGUGAUUAUGAUUUUGACAAGCUAGUAAAAGAUGUUCGGUGGAUUAUGUGAAUUUAGGUCUAGUAGGUUAGCAUGUUGAUUAUUAUAUUGGUGGAUAGAGAUGAGGGCCACACAAAUGACUCAAGGCAAUGAUGCCACUAUUGAAAAUAACUGGUAAACGAGGAAAAUGAGGAGAGAAUGGGGGUAGUGGCAGCAGAUGGACUUUGAUCCAGCAUCCCACGUGCAUCUGCACUCUCCAUUCCCCGUUGUUCGGCUUGGUGUUCUUGUUCUGUUUGCGGAUUUUGUGUCACGCACUUGAUUAAGCAUCCCACGUUCUCCUAAUGUGCGUCCUUGGCGUUGACGAUAGGUAGCGCCGUGUUCUCGGGCGUGUCCCGCGGGUAAAAUUCAGGUAUGCGUCGAUUGUCUAAGCUCUUGCUCGCCAUUGGUGGUGUUUGAGCGUGCGGUCAUGGUGUCGCCCAGCAAGGGAACACGGGAUGUGGGAUCAAGACAACACACAUAGCAACCCGUGACCAGGCAACGGACGCCCGUCCGGACUUUCAGGAAGCGGAGGUGGACACAAAGAUGGAUGUUGAGCUCCAUAGCAGUCUCAAUAGUGUGCUCAUCAGUAUGAGCAACACGAGCAAGAAGAUCCUGGAUAUACUCCUCUUAGGAAAUAAAGAAGGCAUUAGAGGUAGAGGAAACCUCAAUCUCAAGGAAGUAGCGACUUCUUUAGUGAACAUGGAGCAAUUUGGAUUUAGUCAGGCGAUUGUGAUGUUGAACUAAUUUCAUGGUGGAUUACGAGAUUUUUCAAUGGAUUUAGUUGAUUGUGAUCUUGAGGAGAUAGUCAAAGAUGUUCGUUGUAUUAAUUAAUCUUGAACAAUAUGGAUUUAGUUAUGUGAUUGUGAUAUUGAACCAAAUUUCUUUGUGAUUUAUGAGAUUUUAGUUGGAUUUAGUUAGGUGAUUGUGUCUUGAGUUGAUAAUCAAAGAUGUUGUGGAUCAUGAGAUUUUAGGUCUAGUAGAAGAGGAUGGUGAUUAUUGUAUUGGUGGAUAAAUAGAUAUUUAAAUUAAUUUGAAACAAUUUGAAUUGGUCAGGUGAUUGUGAUCUUUUACCCUAAUUUUACGAUGGAUUAUAAGGUUCUGGAUGGAUUUAGUCAGGUGAUUGUGAUUUUCACGAGGUAGUAAAAGAUGUUCGAUGAAUUAUGUAAAUUUAGGUCUAGUAGGUGAGCAUGUUGAUUAUAUAUUGGUGGAUAAAUAAAUUUUUAAUAAAUUUGGAACAAUUUGGAUUUAGUUAGGCGAUUGUGACCUUGAACCAUAUUUUAUGGUGGAUUAUGAGAUUUUUAUGGAUUAGUUAGUUGAUUCUGAUCUUGAGAACAUAUUCAAUUGGAUUAAUUAAUCUUGAAUCAUUUGGAUUUGGUUAGGUGAUUGUGAUACUGAACCAAAUUUUACGCUGGAUUAUGAGAUUUAAGGUGAAUCCAGUUAGGUGAUUGUGUCAUGAGAAUAUAGUCAAAGAUGUUUGCUGGACUAUGAGAUUUUAGGUCUAGUAGAUGAGAAUGGUGAUUAUUAUAUUGGUGGAUAAAAUAGAUAUUUAAUUUAGUUUGGAACAAUUUUGAUUUAGUGAGGUGAUUGUUAUUUUUCUAACAAAUUCACGGUGGAUUUUGAGGUUUUGUUGGAUUUAGUUAGAUGAUUGUGUCUUGAGCUAAUAAUCAAAGAUGUUUUGUGGAUCAUGAGAUUUUAGGUCUAGUAGAGGAGCAUGAUGAUUAUUGUCGUGGUGGAUAAAUAGAUAUUUAAAUUAAUUUGGAACAAUUCGAAUUUGGUCAGUGAUUUUGAUUUUUUAGCCUAAUUUUAGAUGCAUUGUAAGGUUCUUGUUGGAUUUAGUCACGUGAUUGUGAUUUUGACGAGGUAGUAAAAGAUGUUCGAUGAAUUAUGUGAAUUUCGGUCUAGUAGGUGAGCAUGAUGAUUAUUAUAUUAAUGGAUAAAUGAAUCUUUAAUAAAUUUGGAAAAAUUUGGAUUUAGUUAGACGAUUGUGACCUUGAACCAAAUUAUAUGGUGGAUUAUAAUAUUUUUAUGGACUAGUUAGUUGAUUCUGAUCUUGAGAAGAUAUUCAAAGAUGGUUGGAUUAAUUAAUCUUGAAUAAUUUGGAUUUAGUUAGGUGAUUGUGAUAUUGAACCGAAUUUUACGCCGGAUUAUAAAAUUUUAGGUGGAUUUAGUUAGGUGAUUGUGUCUUGAGAAUAGUCAAAGAUGUUUGCUGGACUAUGACAUUUUAGGUUUAGUAGAUGAGAAUGGUGAUUAUUAUAUUGGUGGAUAAAACAGAUCUUUAAUUUAGUUUGGAACAAUUUUGAUUUAGUUAGGUGAUUGCUAUUUUUUCAAAUAAAUUCACGGUGGAUUUUGAGGUUUUGUUGGAUUUAGUUAGGUGAUUGUGAUCUCGACGAGUUAGUCAAGGAUGUUUGAUGAAUUAUGUUAACUUAGGUCUAGUAAGUGAGCAUGGUAGUUAUUAUAUUGGUGGAUAAAUGGUCCUUUAGUAAACAUGGAGCAAUUUGGAUGUAGUUAGGCUAUUAUGAUCUUGAAUAAAUUUCAUAGUGGAUUACAAGAUUUUCAAUAGAUUUAGUUAGUAGAUUGUGAUCUUGGGGAGAUGUCAAAGAUGUUUGGUGGAUUAAUUAAUCUUAAACAAUUUGGUGUUGGUAGAUGAUUGCAAUAUUGAACCAAAUUUCUCUGUGAUUUAUGAGAUUUUAGUUGGAUUUAGUUAGGUGAUUGUGUCUUGAGAUGAUAAUCAAAGAUAUUUGGUGGAUUAUGGAUUUUAGGUCUAAUAACUGAGCAUGGCGAUUAUUAUACUGGUGGAUGAACAUAUAUUUAAUUUAGUUUGAAACGAUUUGGAUUUAGUUAGGUGAUUGUGAUUUUGACAAGCUAGUAAAAGAUGUUCGGUGGAUUAUGUGAAUUUAGGUCUAGUAGGUGAGCAUGUUGAUUAUUAUAUUGAUGGAUAGAGAUGAGGGCCACACAAGUGACUCAAGGCAAUGAUGCCACUACUGAAAAUAACUAGUAAACAAGGAAAAUGAGGAGAGAAUGGGGGUAGUGGCAGUAGAUGGACUUUGAUCUAGCAUCCCACGUGCAUGUGCACUCUCCGUUCCUCGUUGUUCGGCUUGGUGUUCUUGUCCUGUUUGCGGAUUUUGUGUCACGCACUUAAUUAAGCAUCCCACAUUCUCCUAAUGUGCGUCCUUGGCCUUGACGAUAGGUAGCGCCGUGUUCUCGGGCGUGUCCCGUGGGUAAAAUUCAGGUAUGCGUCGAUUGUCUAAGCUCUUGCUCGCCAUUGGUGGUGCUUGAGCGUGCGGUCAUGGUGUCGCCCAGCAAGGGAACACGGGAUGUGGGAUCAAGACAACACACAUAGCAACCCGUGACCAGGCAACGGACGCCCGUCCGGACUUUCAGGAAGCGGAGGUGGACACAAAGAUGGAUGUUGAGCUCCAUAGCAGUCUCAAUAGUGUGCUCAUCAGUACGAGCAACACGAGCAAGAAGAUCCUGGAUAUACAUAUACCCCUCUUAGGAAAUAAAGAAGGCAUUAGAGGUAGAGGAAACCUCAAUCUCAAGGAAGUAGCGACUUCUUUAGUAAACAUGCAGCAAUUUGGAUUUAGUCAGGCGAUUGUGAUCUUGAACUAAUUUCAUGGUGGAUUACGAGAUUUUUCAAUGGAUUUAAUUGAUUGUGAUCUUGAGGAGAUAGUCAAAGAUGUUCGGUGUAUUAAUUAAUCUUGAACAAUAUGGAUUUAGUUAUGUGAGUGUGAUAUUAAACCAAAUUUCUCUGUGAUUUAUGAGAUUUUAGUUGGAUUUAGUUAGGUGAUUGUGUCUUGAGUUGAUAAUCAAAGAUGUUGUGGAUCAUGAGAUUUUAGGUCUACUAGAAGAGGAUGGUGAUUAUUGUAUUGGUGGAUAAAUAGAUAUUUAAAUUAAUUUAAAACAAUUUGAAUUGGUCAGGUGAUUGUGAUCUUUUAACCUAAUUUUACAAUGGAUUAUAAGGUUCUGGUUGGAUUAGUCAGGUGAUUGUGAUUUUGACGAGGUAGUAAAAGAUGUUCGAUGAAUUAUGUAAAUUUAGGUCUAGUAGGUGAGCAUGUUGAUUAUAUAUUGGAGGAUAAAUGAAUCUUUAAUAAAUUUGGAACAAUUUGGAUUUAAUUAGGCGAUUGUGACCUUGAACCAUAUUUUCUGGUGGAUUAUGAGAUUUUUAUGGAUUAGUUAGUUGAUUCUGAUCUUGAGAACAUAUUCAAUUGGAUUAAUUAAUCUUGAAUCAUUUGGAUUUGGUUAGGUGAUUGUGAUACUGAACCGAAUUUUACGCUGGAUUAUGAGAUUUAAGGUGGAUUUAGUUAGGUGAUUGUGUCAUGAGAAUAUAGUCAAAGAUGUUUGCUGGACGAUGAGAUUUUUGGUUUAGUAGAUGAGAAUGGUGAUUAUUAUAUUGGUGGAUAAAAUAGAUAUUUAAUUUAGUUAGGAACAAUUUUGAUUUAGUUAGGUGAUUGUUAUUUUUCUAACAAAUUCACGGUGGAUUUUGAGGUUUUGUUGGAUUUAGUUAGGUAAUUGUGUCUUGAGCUAAUAAUCAAAGAUGUUUUGUGGAUCAUGAGAUUUUAGGUCUAGUAGAGGAGCAUGGUGAUUAUUGUAUUGGUGGAUAAAUAGAUAUUUAAAUUAAUUUGGAACAAUUCGAAUUUGGUCAGUGAUUUUGAUUUUUUAGCCUAAUUUUACGUUGGAUUAUAAGGUUCUUGUUGGAUUUAGUCACGUGAUUGUGAUUUUGACGAGGUAGUAAAAGAUGUUCGAUCAAUUAUGUGAAUUUGGGUCUAGUAGGUGAGCAUGUUGAUUAUUAUAUUAGUGGAUAAAUGAAUUUUUAAUAAAUUUGGAACAAUUUGGAUUUAGUUAGACGAUUGUGACCUUGAACCAAAUUACAUGGUGGAUUAUGAUAUUUUUACGGGCUAGUUAGUUAAUUUUGAUCUUGAGAAGAUAUUCAAAGAUGGUUGGAUUAAUUAAUCUUGAAUAAUUUGGAUUUAGUUAGGUGAUUGUGAUAUUGAACCGAAUUUUACGCCGGAUUAUGAAAUUUAAGAUGGAUUUAGUUAGGUGAUUGCGUCUUGAGAAUAGUUAAAGAUGUUUGCUGGACUAUGACAUUUUAGGUUUAGUAGAUGAGAAUGGUGAUUAUUAUAUUGGUGGAUAAAACAGAUCUUUAAUUUAGUUUGGAACAAUUUUGAUUUAGUUAGGUUAUUGCUAUUUUUUUAAACAAAUUCACGGUGAAUUUUGAGGUUUUGUUGGAUUUAGUUAGGUGAUUGUGAUCUCGACGAGUUAGUCAAAGAUGUUUGGUGAAUUAUGUUAACUUUGGUCUAGUAAGUGAGCAUGGUGGUUAUUAUAUUGGUGGAUAAAUGGUCCUUUAGUAAACAUGGAGCAAUUUGGAUGUAGUUACGCUAUUAUGAUCUUGAAUAAAUUUCAUAGUGGAUUACAAGAUUUUCAAUAGAUUUAGUUAGUAGAUUGUGAUCUUGGGGAGAUGUCAAAGAUGUUUGGUGGAUUAAUUAAUCUUAAACAAUUUGAAGUUGGUAGAUGAUUGCGAUAUUGAACCAAAUUUCUCUGUGGUUUAUGAGAUUUUAGUUGGAUUUAGUUAGGUGAUUGUGUCUUGAGAUGAUAAUCAAAGAUAUUUGAUGGAUUAUGGAUUUUAGGUCUAAUAACUGAGCAUGUCGAUUAUUAUACUGGUGGAUGAACAUAUAUUUAAUUUAGUUUGAAACGAUUUGGAUUUAGUUAGGUGAUUGUGAUUUUGACAAGCUUGUAAAAGAUGUUCGGUGGAUUAUGUGAAUUUAGGUCUAGUAGGUGAGCAUGUUGAUUAUUAUAUUGGUGGAUAGAGAUGAGGGCCACACAAGUGACUCAAGGCAAUGAUGCCACUACUGAAAAUAACUGGUAAACAAGGAAAAUGAGGAGAGAAUGGGGGUAGUGGCAGCAGAUGGACUUUGAUCCAGCAUCCCACGUGCAUGUGCACUCUCCGUUUCCCGUUGUCCGGCUUGGUGUUCUUGUCAUGUUUGCAGAUUUUGUGUCACGCACUUGAUUAAGCAUCCCACGUUCUCCUAAUGUGCGUCCUUGGCCUUGACGAUAGGUAGCGCCGUGUUCUCGGGUGUGCCCCGUGGGUAAAAUUCAGGUAUGCGCCGAUUGUCUAAGCUCUUGCUCGCCAUUGGUGGUUCUUGAGCGUGCGGUCAUGGUGUCGCCCAACAAGGGAACACGGGAUGUGGGAUCAAGACAGCAGACAUAGCAACCCGUGACCAGGCAACGGACGCCCGUCCGGACUUUCAGGAAGCGGAGGUGGACACAAAGAUGGAUGUUGAGCUCCAUAGCAGUCUCAAUAGUGUGCUCAUCAGUACAAGCAACACGAGCAAAAAGAUCCUGGAUAUACUCCUCUUAGGAAAUAAAGAAGGCAUUAGAGGUAGAGGAAACCUCAAUCUCAAGGAAGUAGCGACUUUUUUAGUAAACAUGGAGCAAUUUGGAUUUAGUUAGGCGAUUGUGAUCUUGAACUAAUUUCAUGGUGGAUUACGAGAUUUUUUAAUGGAUUUAGUUGAUUGUGAUCUUGAGGAGAUAGUCAAAGAUGUUCGGUGUAUUAAUUAAUCUUGAACAAUAUGGAUUUAGUUAUGUGAUUGUGAUAUUGAACCAAAUUUCUCCGUGAUUUAUGAGAUUUUAGUUGGAUUUAGUUAGGUGAUUGUGUCUUGAGAUGAUAAUCAAAUAUGUUGUGGAUCAUGAGAUUUUAGGUCUAGUAGAGGAGGAUUGUGAUUAUUGUAUUGGUGGAUAAAUAGAUAUUUAAAUUAAUUUGAAACAAUUUGAAUUGGUGAGGUGAUUGUGAUCUUUUAACCUAAUUUUACGAUGGAUUAUAUGGUGCUUGUUGGAUUUAGUCAGGUGAUUGUGAUUUUGACGAGGUAGUAAAAGAUGUUCGAUGAAUUAUGUAAAUUUAGGUCUAGUAGGUGAGCAUGUUGAUUAUAUAUUGGUGGAUAAAUGAAUCUUUAAUAAAUUUGAAACAAUUUGGAUUUAGUUAGGCGAUUGUGACCUAGAACCAUAUUUUAUGGUGGAUUAUGAGAUUUUAUGGAUUAGUUAGUUGAUUCUGAUCUUGAGAACAUAUUCAAAUAUGUUUGGAUUAAUUAAUCUUGAAUCAUUUGGAUUUGGUUAGGUGAUUGUGAUACUGAACCGAAUUUUACGCUGGAUUAUGAGAUUUAAGGUGGAUCUAGUUAGGUGAUUGUGUCAUGAGAAUAUAGUCAAAGAUGUUUGCUGGAUUAUGAGAUUUUAGGUUUAGUAGAUGAGAAUGGUGAUUAUUAUAUUGAUGGAUAACAUAGAUAUUUAAUUUAGUUUGGAACAAUUUUGAUUUAGUUCGGUGAUUGUUAUUUUUCUAACAAAUUCAUGGUGGAUUUUGAGGUUUUGUUGGAUUUAGUUAGGUCAUUGUGUCUUGAGCUAAUAAUCAAAGAUGUUUUGUGGAUCAUGAGAUUUUAGGUCUAGUAGAGGAGCAUGGCGAUUAUUGUAUUGGUGGAUAAAUAGAUAUUUAAAUUAAUUUGGAACAAUUCGAAUUUGUUCUGGUGAUUUUGAUUUUUUAGCCUAAUUUUAUGAUGGAUUAUAAGGUUCUUGUUGGAUUUAGUCACGUGAUUGUUAUUUUGACGAGGUAGUAAAAGAUGUUCGAUGAAUUAUGUGAAAUUAGGUCUAGUAGGUGAGCUUGCUGAUUAUUAUAUUAGUGGAUAAAUGAAUCUUUAAUAAAUUUGUAACAAUUUAGAUUUAGUUAGACGAUUGUGACCUUGAACCAAAUUAUAUGGUGGAUUAUGAUAUUUUUAUGGACUAGUUAGUUGAUUCUGAUCUUGAGAAGAUAUUCAAAGAUGGUUGGAUUAAUUAAUCUUGAAUAAUUUGGAUUUAGUUAGGUGAUUGUGAUAUUGAACCGAAUUUUACGCCAGAUUAUGAAAUUUUAGGUGGAUUUAGUUAGGUGAUUGUGUCUUGAGAAUAGUCAAAGAUGUUUGCUGGACUAUGAGAUUUUAGGUUUAGUAGAUGAGAAUGGUGAUUAUUAUAUUGGUGGAUAAAAUAGAUCUUUAAUUUAGUUUGGAACAAUUUUGAUUUUGUUAGGUGAUUGCUAUUUUUUCAAACAAAUUCAUGAUGGAUUUUGAGGUUUUGUUGGAUUUAGUUAGGUGAUUGUGAUCUCGACGAGUUAGUCAAAGAUGUUUGGUGAAUUAUGUUAACUUAGGUCUAGUAAGUGAGCAUGGUGGUUAUUAUAUUGGUGGAUAAAUGGUCGUUUAGUAAACAUGGAGCAAUUUGGAUGUAGUUAGGCUAUUAUGAUCUUGAAUAAAUUUCAUAGUGGAUUACAAGAUUUUUGAUAGAUUUAGUUAAUAGAUUGUGAUCUUGGGGAGAUGUCAAAGAUGUUUGGUGGAUUAAUUAAUCUUAAACAAUUUGGAGUUGGUAGAUGAUUGCGAUAUUGAACCAAAUUUCUCUGUGAUUUAUGAGAUUUUUGUUGGAUUUAGUUAGGUGAUUGUGUCUUGAGAUGAUAAUCAAAGAUAUUUGGUGGAUUAUGGAUUUUAGGUCUAAUAACUGAGCAUGGCGAUUAUUAUACUGGUGGAUGAACAUAUAUUUAAUUUAGUUUGAAACGAUUUGGAUUUAGUUAGGUGAUUGUGAUUUUGACAAGCUAGUAAAAGAUGUUCGGUGGAUUAUGUGAAUUUAGGUCUAGUAGGUGAGCAUGUUGAUUAUUAUAUUGGUGGAUAGAGACGAGGGCCACACAAGUGACUCAAGGCAAUGAUGCCACUACUGAAAAUAACUGGUAAACAAGGCAAAUGAGGAGAGAAUGGGGGUAGUUGCAGCAGAUGGACUUUGAUCCAGCAUCCCACGUGCAUGUGCACUCUCCGUUCCCCGUUGUCCGGCUUGGUCUUCUUGUCCUGUUUGCGGAUUUUGUGUCACGCACUUGAUUAAGCAGCCCACGUUCUCCUAAUGUGCGUCCUUGGCCUUGACGAUAGGUAGCGCCGUGUUCUCGGGCAUGUCCCGUGGGUAAAAUUCAGGUAUGCGUCGAUUGUCUAAGCUCUUGCUCGCCAUUGGUGGUGCUUGAGCGUGCGGUCAUGGUGUCGCCCAGGAAGGGAACACGGGAUGUGGGAUCAAGACAGCACACAUAGCAACCCGUGACCAGGCAACGGACGCCCGUCCGGACUUUCAGGAAGCGGAGGUGGACACAAAGAUGGAUGUUGAGCUCCAUAGCAGUCUCAAUUGUGUGCUCAUCAGCACGAGCAACACGAGCAAGAAGAUCCUGGAUAUACUCCUCUUAGGAAAUAAAGAAGGCAUUGGAGGUAGAGGAAACCUCAAUCUCAAGGAAGUAGCGACUUCUUUAGUAAACAUGGAGCAAUUUGGAUUUAGUUAGGCGAUUGUGAUCUUGAACUAAUUUCAUGGUGGAUUACGAGAUUUUUCAAUGGAUUUAGUUGAUUGUGAUCUUGAGGAGAUAGUCAAAGAUGUUCGGUGUAUUAAUUAAUCUUGAACAAUAUGGAUUUAGUUAUGUGAUUGUGAUAUUGAACCAAAUUUCUUUGUGAUUUAUGAGAUUUUAGUUGGAUUUAGUUUGGUGAUUGUGUCUUGAGAUGAUAAUCAAAGAUGUUUUGUGGAUCAUGAGAUUUUAGGUCUAGUAGUGGAGGUUGGUGAUUAUUGUAUUGGUGGAUAAAUAGAUAUUUAAAUUAAUUUGAAACAAUUUGAAUUGGUCAAGUGAUUGUGAUUUUUUAGCCUAAUUUUACGAUGGAUUAUAAGGUUCUUGUUGGAUUCAGUUACGUGAUUGUGAUUUUGACGAGGUAGUAAAAGAUGUUCGAUGAAUUAUGUGAAAUUAGGUCUAGUAGGUGAGCAUGUUGAUUAUUAUAUUAGUGGAUAAAUGAAUCUUUGAUAAAUUUGGAACAAUUUGGAUUUAGUUAGACGAUUGUGACCUUGAACCAAAUUAUAUGGUGGAUUAUGAUAUUUUUAUGGACUAGUUAGUUGAUUCUGAUCUUGAGAAGAUAUUCAAAGAUGGUUGGAUUAAUUAAUCUUGAAUAAUUUGGAUUUAGGUAGGUGAUUGUGAUAUUGAACCGAAUUUUACGCCGGAUUAUGAAAUUUUAGGUGGAUUUAGUUAGGUGAUUGUGUCUUGAGAAUAGUCAAAGAUGUUUGCUGGACUAUGAGAUUUUAAGCUUAGUAGAUGAGAAUGGUGAUUAUUAUAUUGGUGGAUAAAACAGAUCUUUAAUUUAGUUUGGAACAAUUUUGAUUUAGUUAGGUGAUUGCUAUUUUUUCAAACAAAUUCACGAUGGAUUUUGAGGUUUUGUUGGAUUUAGUUAGGUGAUUGUGAUCUCGACGAGUUAGUCAAAGAUGUUUGGUGAAUUAUGUUAACUUAGGUCUAGUAAGUGAGCGUGGUGGUUAUUAUAUUGGUGGACAAAUGGGCCUUUAGUAAACAUGGAGCAAUUUGGAUGUAGUUAGGCUAUUGUGAUCUUGAAUAAAUUUCAUAGUGGAUUAUAAGAUUUUCAUUAGAUUUAGUUAGUAGAUUGUGAUCUUGGGAAGAUGUCCAAGAUGUUUGGUGGAUUAAUUAAUCUUAAACAAUUUUGAUUUGGUAGAUGCUUGCGAUAUUGAACCAAUUUUCUCCGUGAUUUAUGAGAUUUUAGUUGGAUUUAGUUAGGUGAUUGUGUCUUGAGAUGAUAAUCAAAGAUGUUGAUGGAUUAUGGAUUUUAGGUCUAAUAACUGAGCAUGGUGAUUAUUAUAUUGGUGGAUGAACAGAUAUUUAAUUUAGUUGAAAUGAUUUGGAUUUAAUUUGGUGAUUAUGAUCUUUUAACCUAAUUUUACGGUGGAUUAUAAGGUUUUGGUUGGAUUUGGUUAGCUGAUUGUGAUUUUGACAAGCUAGUGAAAGAUGUUUGGUGGAUUAUGUGAAUUUAGGUCUAGUAGGUGGGCAUGUUGAUUAUUGUAUUGGUGGAUAAAUAAUUAUUUAAUGAACUUAGAAAAUUUUGGAUUUAGUUAGGCGAUUGUCAUUUUGAACCAAAUUUUAUGCUGGAGUAUGAGAUUUUUGAUGGAUUAGUUAGUUGAUUGUGAUCUUGAAGAGAUAGUCAAAGAUGUUCGGUGUAUUAAUUAAUCUUGAACAAUUUGGAUUUAGUUAGGUGAUUGUGAUAUUGAACCAAAUUUCUCUGUGAUUUAUGAGAUGUUAGUUGGAUUUAGUUAGGAGAUUGUGUCUUGAGAAGAUAGUCAAAGACGUUUGGUGGAUUAUGUGAUUUUAGGUCUAAUAGAUGAUCAUGGUGAUUAUUAUUUUUGUCGAAAUGAAUCUUUACUAAAUUUGGAACAAUUUGGUUUUAGUUAGCCGACUGUGAUCUUUAACCAAAUUUUAUGGUGGAUUAUGAGAUUUAGUUUGGCUCCGCUCCGCCUCUUCCUCAAGGAGCAUGUUUAGUCCGGUGGUGCGGCGGCUCGUGCGGCGUGCAGUGGCCUUGGAAGAUGGGCGCCGACACCUGCUACUUGUGCACAAUGGUGACUUCACGCAUCUCCUGUGCCCCACAACCCUCUCCUUCCCGGCACAGGAGGAGCAGGAGCAAGGAUGCCGAGGCGGUUCAGUCGCGAGGAAGAGUAGGAAGAUCAGGCAGAGAGGGUUUUACAUACCUCUUCCACACUGACAAGUCUUUGCUUUUCAGGAUUGCCAUGGCGUGCUGCUGCUGGAGCUUUGGAUGGUGGUCUUGGUAUUCCACACAGUGACAAGAGAUUUGCUGGCUUCAAGAAGGAUAAGAAGUAGCCGGGCGCUGAGAUUCACCGCAAAUACGUCUAUGAAGGUCAUGUUGCUGACUACAUGAAGUCAAUAGCUGAUGAGGAACCUAAGAAGUACCAUAUUUCAGGAAGAAUAUUGCGGCCGAUGACAUGGAAGCACUGUACAAGAAGGUUUAUGCUGCCAUUUGUGCUUAUCCUACCAUGGCAAGAUCAACUAAGGAACCUCCAAAGACGCACAAGAAUUGGAUAUAUCUUGCUGUUUAUUAAAGUCAAACAACUGAUAAUGAAGUUUAUCAAUAUAUAGUAAUGGGUAUAAAUGUUUCCUCAUACUCAUGUAGUCCGUUCAUUCCUAAACUAUAUGUUCUUCUUUUGUUAAAACCUUAAAAUAUUAAGAUGUUACGGUAAAUAAAUUCCUUCAGAAUCAAUAAUAGAAAAGUUCUGCUAUGCAAUAAGAUACAGUUGUAUGCAAAAAAUAAUCUUGUAUUAUAUAGUUAUAUAUCAAAACUAUGGAUUUUCUAUGCACUUCCUGCGAUCAUUAAUGUUCAUUGUCUUUGUUCGGAUUUUGUUGGGCACCUGCGGCAAGCGGUGUCAGACACGACGGACGCUGCCAGGUCCGCGUCAACAUCGUGCUCACAGAGCCUGUCCGCUGCGUUGUGUUCUCCAUUUUGCAGUGCAUGGUGAACUACACGGCAAAGUUCAGCUGCAGUCCUCUAUUUUCUUCCUACUAAGAGCCCUGACGAUUUGUACUACUUGGCUGCAAAUUUGUGCCGUUUGCAUCACCAUACGGAUAGUGGUUUGUUCUUCUGGCAUUAUUCAUGUUUCUCAUCAUAGCCAUACUGAAUGAUGCAGGUGGCAUACCUGAAUUUAUCAUAUGAAUUAUGACUUUAUGAGCUUGCUUGGCUACUGACCUGCUGUUUUGGAAGGGCGUCCUUUUACCAGAGCUAUGGAUUUUAUUAUGCUCCAUUUCCUUCAGGGCGCGUUGACCCACCGUGGAUGUUGGUCGCUGCAUGCCUGCGCUGUUCUUUGCUCGGCUGCGUGGAGCACUUGUGUUGCCAGCCUACAAUUGGUGUCGGGACUUUCGUUCGGUUCUGCUCGGUGGCGGUGAUUUCCUUCGGUUCUGCUGGGCCCUUCUAUCUAGCGGCCCCUAGAAGGGAGCACGGGUGACGCGCUGCAGUCUAGCCUCCAUCGCCGCCACCGCCUGUACUCGCCGUCUCGUCUGGUGCUGAAGCUCCCAAACAGCUCACCUCGUGGCAGCAAGUAGUACAAAAUUCAUACCUGCCGCAUCACCAAUAUGAGUACUCCAGGAAAAUGAGUCAGUCAAAAUAUGCAAGUAUGUGCACCCAGUUUGUUCAAGCCUCUUGCUCAGAAGUUGGUCUGGAGAUGCAAGAAUACAGGUAAACUGCAUAUAUAACUGCAUUUUUACGCAGAACUGAAAUUUCACAGAAACUACACUAAACUGCAUUGAGAUUAUUGAAAAAUGUUAAUUAAAUGUUAAAUGGAUAACUUUGUGAUAAUCUACACCAUAUCUUUAUGGACUAGGACCAAUCAAAACAACAUGCAGGAAUUGUUCAUCCUCAUGGAACCAAAAAACCAUCCAUCCAUUUUCACUGCAAGUCAACACUGUACUGAGCUUUCCCUGUCCAUACACUUCCGAAACAGAAUGCCAGAUUGUUAAAUACUGACCAAGAUAAUGAUAUUUAGAAACAAAUUACCUCACACUCAGCUCUUUCUGAUUCGUUUUUUGCUGCUGAACUAUUGCUGUCGGCUGUCGGAGUGCCUUUGCUGCUUGGGGUUCUUGCUUAACUUCCGCCUGCUGUGGAUGCCGCUUUGUGCUUGAGUUCUUGCUUAACUUCCGCCUGAUGUGGAUGCCGCUUUGUGUUUGGUUCUUUCCUUCUUGCUGCUGGUGUCGCUGUCUUAUUGCUGGCCAGGGGCAUGAUAUCUGGGGCAGCAGCCAAUCCUCCACGGGUGAAGUGAAGAUUUAUGUUUGUUACAAUUUCCAAUAUUAGCAUAGUAUGUAUUUGCAUGUUGCAAAGAUCUCAGUAUGAGGAGAUUUAGAUUCAUUCAACUCAACCAUUGACAGGCAGGGAGACAACAAAGGGGGCAGUAUAAUUGCAUCCCAUUAUUAUUUUUCUCUUUAUUAGAUGGCGUAUUGUUAUUUGUUCUAUAUAUACUUAACGUCCCCGUGUGGCUGCUUUUGAGGAAAAAAAUCGUAUUACCAUGUAUCCGUGUUUCUUAGUUCUUAAUCAUCCUAAGUUUUAGCAAAUUAAUUAAUCAUUUGCUUUUCUCAAUUUUAUUGUUUUGGAAAUUUUAUUCCUCUACCAUUUAUAAGUACGGUUUGCGAGAGGUGGUUGCUAUUCGUACGUUCUAGAUUAGCCUUGGCAGUUCAGAAUCUGGUAUUGAACGUGUUACAAUGUAUUAUCGUAAUGUAAUAUGUUUUGGUAUUUACUUGAGAGCUAGCAUCCAUGUAGUAUCUGUUUUGUAUUGUUUUGCCGGCAUCUAUAUGUAAUACAAAAUGUACUUCUCAUUCAGUAUUUAAAUGAUCUGGUGUCGUUCUUUUGCAUGGCAUUUGAAUUGCCCGAUGCUUGGUUGUGAGAGAUGAUAUCCAUCUCAGAAAGGAGAAAGGGUCACUGCUGGUCAAAUGCUUUGUGCCUAGGACUGAUAUGAACUUCUCUUCCACAACUAGACAAUUAUCCGAUCUAUUUCAAUUGUCUGGAUGUUAACUUGAGACUUGGACACCGUAGCAGUUUAAGCGGCGCAGCAAGGCGCGCGUAUGCUUCUAGUGUCCAUUGAAGCUAUUUGAUAAAUCGAGAUCGUAGCCAAAACUCAGGUUAGGGACCUCAAUUGCUGUGACAUGAAGAAACUUGUAGCUGGAAAAUGUAUCUGUGAAAAAUCAACUCGAGAUGGCAGACACUACCAGCUGGAAACAUUUUAAGGAGAGGGGCCAACAACAUAGAUUCAGACCGCUGUCUCUGUGCUUAUGUAACUACUGGUACAUCGAAAUGACAUGUCGUCACUCGCUCCCUAA